rnacentral:snRNA from 1 species
AUUGUUUUUCCAAGCAUUUUCUAAAUAAACUUAAAUACUGUUCUUUACGGCUUAAUCUCCGUAACGACCCCUACCGGGGUCAAAAGAGAUUAACCAAUUUUUGGAAAAUGGUCGCAGCAGGGGGCUUGCUCCCUCUCGACCGCGCGUCGUCCCGGUAUUGCACUUACCUCCGGGCACGGCGCAUCUCCC